UGUUUGCAGUGGGUUUGCUCUCCUCAAGUGUUGUCCUCGCCAGGAGUAGGUUUGCAAGUGGAAGACAGAGAACAGGAAGAAGAACAGAUGCUGGCUGCCUCCAGAAGGCCUUGCUGGGUCCACACCUGGAAUCUGUGGACUCCAGGUGCCCUCAGAAUUGUCUCGGUGCUUUUCGUCCCACACCUUGGUUGUGGCAUGCUCCCUGCAUCUCCUUGAUUUCCACCUUCUCUGGCCCCCUUCCCCACUUAUCAUUUCUAACGUUGCUGGAUGCAUAACUCUCUGCUGACUGUACCAUGCCUCAUUUUAUUAUAUUAAAGAUUUUGUUGUUAUUGUUAUUGAAUGGGAUGGCUAACCUUGAUUGUCAACUUGACAUAUCUGCAGAAAGGGAACUCAGUUACAGAAUUGCCUCCUGCAGACUGUCCCGUGGGCGUCUCUGUGGUGGUAUCUUCUUGACUGCUAAUUGAUGUGGGAGGACCCAUCACACUGUGGGCAGUGCCAUCCCUAGGAAAGUGGGAUUCAGGUACAUAAAAGACACAGUUUAAUGGGAGCCUGGGAGCAAGCCAGUCAGCAGCAUUCCUCCAUGGUUUCUGCCUCAGUUUCCCACCUUGAGUUCCUUUCUUGGCUUCCAUGAGUUAUAACCUGUUAGCUAAAAUAAACCCUUUCCUCCCCAA